rnacentral:lncRNA from 1 species
GCCGAGGCACCCCUUGGCCAGCGACUCGGAGGAGGAGGAGCCGCCCCGGUGUCCCGACGCCGGAGACGCCGCCUCCCCCCGCGUGGUGCCCGAGAGCGACCCCGAAGAGCCGGACGUGCGACCCGGCGCCCACGUGCUCCGAAAACGCCUCCCCCCGGCUUCGACCUUGGGUUGCGCGGAUCUGGACGGCGGGGGACCCAAAAAACGCCGCUUGGGCCCCAAAACCCCCCCGGGUCCGGGGUUCGGGUCCCGAAAUCGCGUCCUGAACCCCGACGUGGCCCAAGGGACCCCGAAACCGCACGCUGGACGUGCCGGCAACGGGCGCUGGGUGCUGGUGGUGGACAGCGACACGGAUGAGGAGGAGGCCGAGCUCCUUCCGCCCGUCGGGCGCCCCGAAAUUCGACGAAAAACCCCAAACGUGCCCCACAGCCCCAGGGGGGAGGCCAGGAUCCCACGGCCCGACGCCGGAGGUCCCGGAGGUGGGGAGCUCGCGGCGGACAGCGACGCGGACGCGGAGGGAGACGGAGCGGAGGAGGGCGUGGGGCGGCCCCGAAAUCAUCAAACGAUCCCAAAUGUCCCAAAAACGGAGGCGGAGAGCCCAGCCCCGGGGCCUGGAGGUCCAAGGGACGAGCGUCGGGCGCCGAGGGCGGACGGCGAUAGGGAUGGGGAGGACGGCGGAGCCCCGACCCGACGGGGGACCCCGAAUUCACCGCACCCCCCCGGUUUGGAGGCUGGGGGUCCCCACGGGGGGCGGCGGGCGCCGGUGGUGGGCGGCGAUCCAGAUGUUGGCUGCCCAGCGGCCCCCCGAGGCCUGGAUCCAGAUGUUGGGGGGGCCAAAAGGAGGCAGCGGCCUCCGCCGGUAGACAGCGAUACGGAUGUGGAGGAGGAAGAGCUGGAUCCAGAUGUUGCCCACCCGGAAAACCACAGAACGCCCCAAAUUACCCCAAAGGAUCCAGCUGUGCUCGCAGAGACCCCAAAUUCCGGUCUUAAAGGACCUCACGUUGGAGAUUGGGGUUUAGAGGUGGAGAGCGACACAGACAUCGAGGGAGAAGAGCUGGAUCCAGAUGUUCCCCACCUGAAAACCCACAAAACGCCCCAAAUUCCCCCGCGGGAUCCAGCUGUGGUGACGGAGACCCCAAAUCCUGACCUGAAAGGGCCUCGGGUUGGAGAUCGGAGCCUCAAGGUGGACAGCGAUACAGAUGUUGAGGGAGAAGAGCUGAAUCCAGAUGUUCCC